GUGCUCGCUUCGACAGCACAUAUAAUAAAAUUGGAACAAUACAGAGAAGAUUA
rnacentral:snRNA from 1 species